UUAGCUUCGGCACUAGAUAUACUAAAUUUGGAACAAUACAGAGAGCAUGGCCCCCUGCGCAAGGAUGACACGCAAAUUCGUGAAGUGUUCCACAUUUUU